rnacentral:rRNA from 1 species
UGGGGAAUAUUGGACAAUGGGCGGAAGCCUGGUCCAGCAACGCCGCGUGAGGGAUGACGGCCUUCGGGUUGUAAACCUCUUUCACCAUUGACGAAGCUGCAUCUUUUGGUAUGGUGACGGUAGGUGGGGAAGAAACACCGGCCAACUACGUGCCAGCAGCCGCGGUAAUACGUAGGGUGCGAGCGUUGUCCGGAAUUAUUGGGCGUAAAGGGCUCGUAGGCGGUUUGUCGCGUCGGGAGUGGAAACAUCCGGCUUAACUGGGUGCUUGCUUUCGAUACGGGCAGACUAGAGGUAUGCAGGGGGAGAACGGAAUUCCUGGUGUAGCGGUGAAAUGCGCAGAUAUCAGGAGGAACACCGGUGGCGAAGGCGGUUCUCUGGGCAUGAUCUGACGCUGAGGAGCGAAAGUGUGGGAGCGAACA